UGGCGGACGGGUGAGUAAUGUCUGGGAAACUGCCCGAUGGAGGGGGAUAACUACUGGAAACGGUAGCUAAUACCGCAUAACGUCGCAAGACCAAAGAGGGGGACCUUAGGGCCUCUUGCCAUCGGAUGUGCCCAGAUGGGGUUAGCUAGUAGGUGGGGUAAUGGCUCACCUAGGCGACGAUCCCUAGCUGGUCUGAGAGGAUGACCAGCCACACUGGAACUGAGACACGGUCCAG
rnacentral:rRNA from 1 species